rnacentral:ncRNA from 1 species
UAGUGAUGCUAUGGGCGGAGGAAGUGGUGUGGCAAAAUCUUCGAGGUUACGAAAAGAAAUUUGAUGAGGCUGAAUGGUGGACAAGGUUGCAGAACAAACCAAGUCCAAAAGGUAAACGUAAAACCAAGACAGUAAAUCAAAAACCUGUGAAG